rnacentral:lncRNA from 1 species
GGGUAGAGAUACAGAAGUAUCCGGAGAUAUAUCAACAGAUGAUCCUGUUCCCGGUUCAGGUGAGACUAUAAGGCUGCUGGUUCUUUCGGUUAACGUCUCAGCAGCAGGGUUCUCAACGGGGGGAACAUCUGCUACUAAAGCUUCAACAGGUGAAACAUCUGCUACAAUAGCGUCAAGAGGAGAAGCAUCUGUUACAACAGCUUCAACAGGUGAAAGAUCUGAUACAACAGCUUCAACAGGUGAAACAUCUGCUACAAUAGCUUCAAGAGGGGAACCAUCUGCUACGACAGCUUCGACAGGUGAAACAUCUGAUGUACUUUCGACAUAUGUUAGUCCCCCAUUUCUUACAUCUCUCAUGUCAUAAACCAUGUAGUUUAUUCUAUCCAACUCAUUCUCACACAAGUUUCUGAACGUGGAUGAUGUUUGCUCCGUGUUUUCGAUAGUAGCGGUGAAGAAUCUACCAGUGGCUUGAGUUAAGAAACUCUUCUGCAAGCUUUGUGU